rnacentral:rRNA from 1 species
AGUCAUAUGCUUGUCUCAAAGAUUAAGCCAUGCAUGUCUCAGUACAAGCCAAAUUAAGGUGAAACCGCGAAAGGCUCAUUAAAUCAGUUAUGGUUCCUUAGAUCGUACCCACAUUUACUUGGAUAACUGUGGUAAUUCUAGAGCUAAUACAUGCAAACAGAGCUCCGACCGGAGACGGAAGGAGCGCUUUUAUUAGAUCAAAACCAAUCGGUGGCGGGUUCGCCCGUCAUCGUACAUUUUGGUGACUCUGAAUAACUUUUUGCUGAUCGCACGGUCUCGCACCGGCGACGCAUCUUUCAAAUGUCUGCCUUAUCAACUGUCGAUGGUAGGUUCUGCGCCUACCAUGGUUGUAACGGGUAACGGGGAAUCAGGGUUCGAUUCCGGAGAGGGAGCCUGAGAAACGGCUACCACAUCCAAGGAAGGCAGCAGGCGCGCAAAUUACCCACUCCCGGCACGGGGAGGUAGUGACGAAAAAUAACGAUACGGGACUCAUCCGAGGCCCCGUAAUCGGAAUGAGUACACUCUAAACCCUUUAACGAGGAUCAAUUGGAGGGCAAGUCUGGUGCCAGCAGCCGCGGUAAUUCCAGCUCCAAUAGCGUAU